AACGCACCUUGCACUCUUUGGUAUUCCGAAGAGUAUGUCUGUUUGAGUGUCAUGAAACUCUCAACCCCCUUAUUUUGUAAUGAGAUAAGCGUGGGCUUGGUUUAUGGUUGUUGAUGGCUUUCAAAGUCAUCUCAACUGAAAUAUACGAGUUACCUGUUUUUGUAAUAGACGGUUUGACUUGGCGUAAUAACUAUUUCGCUAAGGACGUCAGUUUACAAUUAGUAAAUGGUGCUUCUAAUCCAUCAUUAAAUUUAAGAUUUAGACCUCAAAUCAGUCAGGACUACCCGCUGAACUUAA
rnacentral:misc_RNA from 1 species